rnacentral:rRNA from 1 species
UACAGAGGGUGCAAGCGUUGUUCGGAAUUACUGGGCGUAAAGGGCGCGUAGGCGGCCCUCUAAGUCAGACGUGAAAUCCCUCGGCUCAACCGGGGAACUGCGUCUGAGACUGGAAGGCUUGACUUCGGGAGAGGGAUGUGGAAUUCCAGGUGUAGCGGUGAAAUGCGUAGAUAUCUGGAGGAACACCGGUGGCGAAGGCGGCAUCCUGGACCGAUAUUGACGCUGAUGCGCGAAAGCCAGGGGAGCAAACGGG